GAUGUGUCUCAUGGGGCAGCUAUCGAGAGACACACUGCUGUGCUGUGGCAAAUGAAGGCAUUUUCCACCGUAAACAAGAGGAAACUCAUACUCUGAUUGCAGCCAAAAACAGAGGGUCCCCUCCAGGAUGCUCAGAACCAUCCUUAAAGCAAA